CCUACGGGAGGCAGCAGUGAGGAAUAUUGGUCAAUGGGCGAGAGCCUGAACCCGCCAAGUAGCGUGAAGGAUGACUGCCCUACGGGUUGUAAACUUCUUUUAUAAAGGAAUAAAGUGCGGCACGUGUGCCUUUUUGUCUGUCCUUUUUGAAUAAGGAUCGGCUACCUCCGUGCCAGCAGCCGCGGUAAUACGGAGGAUCCGAGCGUUAUCCUGAUUUAUUGGGUUUAAAGGGAGCGUAGAUGGGUUGUUAAGUCAGUUGUGAAAGUUUGCGGCUCAACCGUAAAAUUGCAAUUGAUACUGGCAGUCUUGAGUACAGGUGAGGUAGGCGGAAUUCGUGGUGUAGCGGUGAAAUGCUUAGAUAUCACGAAGAACUCCGAUUGCGAAGGCAGCGUACUAAACUGCCACUGACAUUGAUGCUCGAAAGUGUGGGUAUCAAACAGGAUUAGAUACCCCGGUAGUC
rnacentral:rRNA from 1 species